rnacentral:rRNA from 1 species
GACGUAGGAGGCGAGCGUUGUCCGGAUUUAUUGGGCGUAAAGAGCGUGUAGGCGGUCCGGUAAGUCCGCUGUGAAAGUCGGGGGCUCAACCCUCGAAUGCCGGUGGAUACUGUCGGGCUAGAGUGCGGAAGAGGCGAGUGGAAUUCCUGGUGUAGCGGUGAAAUGCGCAGAUAUCAGGAGGAACACCUAUUGCGAAGGCAGCUCGCUGGGACGUAACUGACGCUGAGACGCGAAAGCGUGGGGAGCAAACAGG